rnacentral:rRNA from 1 species
UACGUAGGGUGCGAGCGUUGUCCGGAAUUAUUGGGCGUAAAGAGCUUGUAGGCGGUCUGUCGCGUCUGCUGUGAAAAUCCGGGGCUCAACCCCGGACUUGCAGUGGGUACGGGCAGACUAGAGUGUGGUAGGGGAGACUGGAAUUCCUGGUGUAGCGGUGAAAUGCGCAGAUAUCAGGAGGAACACUGGUGGCGAAGGCGGGACUCUGGGCCGAUACUGACGCUGAGGAGCGAAAGCGUGGGGAGCAAACAGG